AUUGAACGCUAGCGGCAGGCCUAACACAUGCAAGUCGAGCGAGCGGCGGACGGGUGAGUAAUGUAUGGGUACUGCCCGAUAGCGGGGGAUCACUACUGGAAACUGUAGCUAAUACCUCCUACUAUCGGAUAACCCAUAUGGUAUUAGCUAGUAGGUGAGGUAAUGGCUCACCUAGGCGACGACGCCUAGCUGGUCUGAGAGGAUGAUCAGGAACACUGGUGCUGAGACAAUCCCAACAUUGGAAGGGAGGCAGCAGUGGAGAAUAUUGGAGAAGGGGCGGAAGCCAGUAGCAGGCAUGGCGCGUGAAUGAAGAAGGCCAAAGGGGUGUAAAGUACUUUAAGUCGGGAGGCGGUAACGACAGAAGAAGCACCGGCUAACUACGUGCCAGCAGCCGCGGUAAUAC
rnacentral:rRNA from 1 species